ACUCUGACCACAAAGCAAAGCAAAGCAAAGGAAGCAGCUGUCUUGGUGGUGGUUAUCUGCAAAAAAAGAAGAAGAUGGACAUGGGAUUCGCAGACCGUCGAAAUACUAGCAGGAACCAUCUGGUGACCCAUGUCUCAAAGUCAACGCAAAAGGGAAGCUCUUCUUUGCUUUGUUACUGAUCUGAUCUGCUAUUUUAUUCAUUCAAUUCAAUUCAAUUUGGGGGGUGAUUGACAGGAGGAGCCCUUCAAUGCCUCGCUCUGCCUUAGUGUCAUCUUAUGUCACUUCCAGUAUCCAUCUUUUCUACAAGCGAAAUCAUGGUCGAAAAGUGAACCCUCUUAGCCAAGCCACAAAUCCUUGGAGAGGUUUGAUAUCUUUCUCUUUUGCCUCCUCAGCAGCAAAACUAGUCUCAUCAUCAACAAAAAAGAAUGCCAUGUCUAUCUCAGCAAAAGUGUCAUACCAAAAAAGAUUUUCCCUGUUCAGAGUUGUGGGAAUGGGCAGUUGCCGGAAAACGUGGAGUCAGUGUGGAACCUAAGAGGGGUGCUCAACGCCGUUGCACCGUGUCCUGAACCCACUCAACUUGUGGAUCAAUGUCCUCUUCUUUGACCUCUUCUCGGUUUCAAAACACAAGACUCUUUAAAAAAGAAUGUAUCCACCUGUGAUUAUUCUUUUAGCUUUUCGUCCUAGUUUGGUGCGUUAUUUUAAUAUCCAACCACUGUUUACCGAUUUUGAUGCAUUAUUAUUUUUAUAACAAAUGUGCUUGCAAUAUCGUAUGGUUGAGCACAUUUAUCAAUAGUGCAUGCUCCUUGAUUGCUUCGCAGUCCACUUUCCUCCUAAUCUUCGUGUGCGCCUCGUCUUAUUCGAUCCAUGCUUGUAUAACCGCAAUUCUGGCGUCAAUUUGCAACACAAGAAACAUGGCUUGACACAGAAAAAUAACGACGAGAACUUCUGAAGCUGAAGAACACAGAGACAGAGAGUUUUGAGUAUUCAACACAGAGAGAAAAGUGAGAUGACAGAGUCUCAGAAAGACAGAGAGAUAGAGAUGCAGAAACGAAAACAGAGUGAGAAAGACCAAUUAGUUGAUACCAAGGCUGGUAGUAUGGAUGAGCUUCAACCUCGAGAUAAUUUUAUGUCUGGCAGUACAGAGGAGGUUCAACUAUUUCUUGUUGCUAGGUAUUAGCUUGUAUGAGCAUUUGUUUACUUCAAUUUUUUUUUUCAUUUGUUUUCUUUCUGUUUGAUAUUUUUUUUGAUAUUGAAGAAUCAGUAGUUGUGUUUCAGUCAAGUCUGUGAAAUUUUUGUUUCAGUCGACUUGUACUUUUGUGUUUUGUUGAGUAUUAGUUUUAGACUUAUGUAAGACUCAUUUGUAUUUGCGAUGUGUGGUUUGGUU